ACAUUUCUCACGAGUGCGUCAUCUGAUCGGCCUUUAUGGAGACCGCCGAUCAAACUAUUUAAAGCCUUUAUCGGCCGAUAACGAUCAGUGACUGAUCAAUUGGAGCACCCUUAGGAUUGAGGGUAGAUGUUG